GAACGCUAGCUACAGGCUUAACACAUGCAAGUCGAGGGGCAGCAUGGUCUUAGCUUGCUAAGGCCGAUGGCGACCGGCGCACGGGUGAGUAACACGUAUCCAACCUGCCGUCUACUCUUGGACAGCCUUCUGAAAGGAAGAUUAAUACAAGAUGGCAUCAUGAGUCCGCAUGUUCACAUGAUUAAAGGUAUUCCGGUAGACGAUGGGGAUGCGUUCCAUUAGAUAGUAGGCGGGGUAACGGCCCACCUAGUCUUCGAUGGAUAGGGGUUCUGAGAGGAAGGUCCCCCACAUUGGAACUGAGACACGGUCCAAACUCCUACGGGAGGCAGCAGUGAGGAAUAUUGGUCAAUGGGCGAGAGCCUGAACCAGCCAAGUAGCGUGAAGGAUGACUGCCCUAUGGGUUGUAAACUUCUUUUAUAAAGGAAUAAAGUCGGGUAUGGAUACCCGUUUGCAUGUACUUUAUGAAUAAGGAUCGGCUAACUCCGUGCCAGCAGCCGCGGUAAUACGGAGGAUCCGAGCGUUAUCCGUAUUUAUUGGGUUUAAAGGGAGCGUAGAUGGAUGUUUAAGUCAGUUGUGAAAGUUUGCGGCUCAACCGUAAAAUUGCAGUUGAUACUGGAUAUCUUGAGUGCAGUUGAGGCAGGCGGAAUUCGUGGUGUAGCGGUGAAAUGCUUAGAUAUCACGAAGAACUCCGAUUGCGAAGGCAGCCUGCUAAGCUGCAACUGACAUUGAGGCUCGAAAGUGUGGGUAUCAAACAGGAUUAGAUACCCUGGUAGUCCACACGGUAAACGAUGAAUACUCGCUGUUUGCGAUAUACUGCAAGCGGCCAAGCGAAAGCGUUAAGUAUUCCACCUGGGGAGUACGCCGGCAACGGUGAAACUCAAAGGAAUUGACGGGGGCCCGCACAAGCGGAGGAACAUGUGGUUUAAUUCGAUGAUACGCGAGGAACCUUACCCGGGCUUAAAUUGCAGAUGAAUUACGGUGAAAGCCGUAAGCCGCAAGGCAUCUGUGAAGGUGCUGCAUGGUUGUCGUCAGCUCGUGCCGUGAGGUGUCGGCUUAAGUGCCAUAACGAGCGCAACCCUUGUUGUCAGUUACUAACAGGUUCCGCUGAGGACUCUGACAAGACUGCCAUCGUAAGAUGUGAGGAAGGUGGGGAUGACGUCAAAUCAGCACGGCCCUUACGUCCGGGGCUACACACGUGUUACAAUGGGGGGUACAGAGGGCCGCUACCACGCGAGUGGAUGCCAAUCCCCAAAACCUCUCUCAGUUCGGACUGGAGUCUGCAACCCGACUCCACGAAGCUGGAUUCGCUAGUAAUCGCGCAUCAGCCACGGCGCGGUGAAUACGUUCCCGGGCCUUGUACACACCGCCCGUCAAGCCAUGGGAGCCGGGGGUACCUGAAGUGCGUA
rnacentral:rRNA from 1 species